GAUGAACGCUGGCGGCGUGCCUAAUACAUGCAAGUCGAGCGAAUGGAUUAAGAGCUUGCUCUUAUGAAGUUAGCGGCGGACGGGUGAGUAACACGUGGGUAACCUGCCCAUAAGACUGGGAUAACUCCGGAAAACCGGGGCUAAUACCGGAUAAUAUUUUGAACUGCAUGGUUCAAAAUUGAAAGGCGGCUUCGGCUGCCACUUAUGGAUGGACCCGCGUCGCAUUAGCUAGUUGGUGAGGUAACGGCUCACCAAGGCAACGAUGCGUAGCCGACCUGAGAGGGUGAUCGGCCACACUGGGACUGAGACACGGCCCAGACUCCUACGGGGGGAAGCAGUAGGGAAUCUUCCGCAAUGGACGAAAGUCUGACGGAGCAACGCCGCGUGAGUGAUGAAGGCUUUCGGGUCGUAAAACUCUGUUGUUAGGGAAGAACAAGUGCUAGUUGAAUAAGCUGGCACCUUGACGGUACCUAACCAGAAAGCCACGGCUAACUACGUGCCAGCAGCCGCCGUAA
rnacentral:rRNA from 1 species